UACGGGGCGCAGCAGGCGCGAAAACUUUACCAUGCGGGCAACCGUGAUAAGGAAACCCCGAGUGCCAGCACAGGCUGGCUGUCCGCCAGUUUAAAUAACUGGUGAAGAAAGGGCCGGGCAAGACCGGUGCCAGCCGCCGCGGUAAUACCGGCGGCUCGAGUGGUGGCCGCUAUUACUGGGCUUAAAGGGUCCGUAGCUUGAUAACUGGGUCCCUUGAGAAAUCCGCCAGCUUAACUGGCGGGCGUUCAGGAGAUACUGUCUGGCUCGAGGCCGGGAGAGGUGAGAGGUACUUCAGGGGUAGGGGUGAAAUCUUGUAAUCCUUGAAGGACCACCAGUGGCGAAGGCGUCUCACCAGAACGGACCUGACGGCAAGGGACGAAAGCUAGGGGCACGAACCGGAUUAGAUACCCGGGUAGUCCCAGCCGUAAACGAUGCUCGCUAGGUGUCAGGCAUGGCGCGACCGUGUCUGGUGCCGCAGGGAAGCCGUGAAGCGAGCCACCUGGGAAGUACGGCCGCAAGGCUGAAACUUAAAGGAAUUGGCGGGGGAGCACAACAACGGGUGGAGCCUGCGGUUUAAUUGGACUCAACGCCGGACAACUCACCGG
rnacentral:rRNA from 1 species